AUUGAACGCUGGCGGCAUGCCUAACACAUGCAAGUCGAACGAGUGGCGGACGGGUGAGUAAUGUCUGGGGAUCUGCCCGAUGGAGGGGGAUAACUACUGGAAACGGUAGCUAAUACCGCAUACUAUCGGAUGUGCCCAUAUGGGAUUAGCUAGUAGGUGGGGUAAUGGCUCACCUAGGCGACGAUCCCUAGCUGGUCUGAGAGGAUGACCAGCCACACUGGAACUGAGACACGGCCCAGACUCCUACGGGAGGAAGCAGUGGGGAAUAUUGCACAAUGGGCGCAAGCCUGAUGCAGCCAUGCCGCGUGUAUGAAGAAGGCCUUCGGGUUGUAAAGUACUUUCAGCGGGGAGGCGUUACCCGCAGAAGAAGCACCGGCUAACUCCGUGCCAGCAGCCGCGGUAAUUC
rnacentral:rRNA from 1 species